rnacentral:misc_RNA from 1 species
GAUGAAGAACGCAGUGAAAUGCGAUAAUUAAUGUGAAUUGCAGAAUUCAGUGAAUCAUCGAGUCUUUGAACGCACAUUGCGCCCCCUGGUAUUCCGGGGGGCAUGCCUGUCCGAGCGUCAUUGCUGCCCUCAAGCACGGCUUGUGUGUUGGGCUUCCGUCCCUGGCAACGGGGACGGGCCCAAAAGGCAGUGGCGGCACCAUGUCUGGUCCUCGAGCGUAUGGGGCUUUGUCACCCGCUCCCGUAGGUCCAGCUGGCAGCUAGCCUCGCAACCAAUCUUUUUAACCAGGUUGACCUCGGAUCAGGAAGGGAUACCCGCUGAACUUAAGCAUAUCAAUAAGCGGAGGA